GAUGAACGCUGGCGGCGUGCCUAAUACAUGCAAGUCGAGCGAACAGACGAGGAGCUUGCUCUUCUGACGUUAGCGGCGGACGGGUGAGUAACACGUGGAUAACCUACCUAUAAGACUGGGAUAACUUCGGGAAACCGGAGCUAAUACCGGAUAAUAUAUUGAACCGCAUGGUUCAAUAGUGAAAGACGGUUUUGCUGUCACUUAUAGAUGGAUCCGCGCCGCAUUAGCUAGUUGGUAAGGUAACGGCUUACCAAGGCAACGAUGCGUAGCCGACCUGAGAGGGUGAUCGGCAACACUGGAACUGAGACACGGUCCAGACUCCUACGGGAGGCAGCAGUAGGGAAUCUUCCGCAAAGGGCGAAAGCCUGACGGAGCAACGCCGCGUGAGUGAUGAAGGUCUUCGGAUCGUAAAACUCUGUUAUUAGGGAAGAACAUAUGUGUAAGUAACUAUGCACGUCUUGACGGUACCUAAUCAGAAAGCCACGGCUAACUACGUG
rnacentral:rRNA from 1 species